GUGUGUGUGUGUGUGUGUGUGUGUGUGUGUGUGUGUGUGUGUGUGUGUGUGUGUGUGUGUGUGUGUGUGUGUGUGUGUGUGUGUGUGUGUGUGUGUGUGUGUGUGUGUGUGUGUGUGUGUGUGUGUGUGUGUGUGUGUGUGUGUGUGUGUGUGUGUGUGUGUGUGAGGCAUCAGCAUGAAGGACUAUUGAUACUGGAAUACUGCUCAUCUUAAUUUCUGGAAUUUGGGAUAUAUUGCAGAUCUAAGGCUGGUGGAGGCUGUUCAGGGACAAUGGACAAAGAACAUGUAAAACAAAGAACACAUGGAUUACUUCCAAAGACUGAAAGCUUCAGAUUUAUACCCGGUUCACGGUUGACUGUUGCGCCACUUAAACAUUUUCUUUUAGAAUGUCAAGUUUAUGAAAAUAUAAGAAAUAAAUUUAAUUUCCAAUCAAUUUAUCAAAACAAAGAAGAAAUAACAGCAGAAACAUUACUUUCAGUGAUCAAAGAAUCAAACAUAUAAAAGAGAAAAAAGGAUACAUCAAAACUAUCUGGAAAAUGAGAUACAAAUCAGCACAGAAAUUGCAACAUGACUUGAGAAACCAGCUAGUGGGAGCCGAUGCCAAGGCUUAUCCCACACCUACUACUGAACUCAACUGUCACAUGAUAAAGUAUUGGCAAGUUCUUCAUGGUCAUUGCACUAUUGCUCCUAAACAUAUGUUCUUUAACCCAACACUAGAUACCACAAGAGGUCAUCAGUACAAGAAUGUUCAAGUGAGAAUGGUUCUUCAAUAUCAGAAGAAUUACACUUUGGAACUCUUCCCCAAAAUAGUAUUUGUUUCAAGGAGUGAGUGAGGCAGGAUGAGUCUGAUGGGUGCUUAGGCUGAGAGUCACGCCGCAGGGUCAGUGAGGGGUACGGCCGGCAGUAUGGUGACUCCUACGGCGGCGGUAGGUCAUCACAGGAGUACUCAUGUGACAGGAGCAGCAGUUGGGGGGCGGUCACAGGGGAGGGGGCUGAUGGCGAAACCAUGGGAGGGGGAGAUGGUGCCGGGGAGUGGCAGGGUGGCCGGCCUUAUGCUGCAGGGGACGGCCACUGCUCCGGACAUCAUGGCGUAUGGAUAACCUGGAGUCCGAAGUGGCACUUAAUAUUCUCAAUGCUGUGGUGACUAAUAAAGAAGAGGCACAGUGGGCAAGACAGAGGGACUGGGAAGGCAGACAGAAGAGGAGGAUGGACUGGGACGACCAGUACUAUGGGUCUGGCUGCGGCAUCCUACCCACCCCCCAGAUGCCCCCACGUUAACUGCCCCGGCGCAACCCUAACAUUGGCCCUGCACACUCCUGGGGUGUGGUGGGGGGCUUUGUACCAGGGCGGCCGGGGCGGGGGCAGGGUGGAGCAACAGGGCCGGGGUACAAGAUGAAGAAAACGUUGCCGGCUAAGAAGAAAAUAGGAGCUAAGGAGGUUUAGACAAGUGGUGGUGGUGGUGGUGGUGGUGCUGGUGGUGGUGUGAAACCGAGGAUAAGACUGUAUCAUCAGUCUGAUGAUAUUUGGAAUAUCAAUUAUUUAACUUUGCAACACCUGAGGACAAGACAGGAGCCAGGCAGGAGGGUCAUAGGAUGCCAGUUGGAUGUGGUGAAGGAUGUUUUUUGUCUGGGAAGGAUAAUGAGGAAGUGAAAUUGAGUUGCUAAUCUGUAGAUAAAAUGAUAAAAGAUGAAUAAGUGAAAUAAAAAAAAAAAAUGUGGUGUUUUGGAAUAUAUAGAACAGUGGGGCUUAGUGUGUGUGUAUGUGUGUGUGUGCUGGGGGAUGUAUCUUUGUUAAUUAGAAAGAAUAUAAGAGAUGAAUAUAAUGGUGGGAAUAUAAGAGAUGAAUAUAAUGGUGGGAUAUAUAGCAAUUUUUUUUAGUUCAGAAGAAAUAAGUUUGGUUUGAGUUUAUAUAUGAAUGGGAAAAAAGCUAAAAGAGAGAGAGAGAGAGAUUUAUAAUGAACUGGAAUGUAAAGCAGUACAAAACUGUAAAAGAAAGGGAUUGAUGUUUAGUUUAGAUUAAUUUGUGUAAAGUAGAGUAAAAAAAAAAAUAAUGUGUUUUGAGUUGAUGUAUCAGUGUACCCUAGAAAAUGGAGGAGAAAUUAUUGUUUCUUUAAAUUUUAUGUCAUUGUAAACUAGAAAAUAUAAAUAGUUUUUUUUCAUUUUCUAGAUCAUUAUAAAAUUGAAAAAUAAUAUAGCAGUGGUGUUUAUAUAUA